CGCGGGCUCAGUGGCCCGCGCCUCCAGCCCUGUCACUCACAGCUCCCGCAGUGUGGUUUCGGGUUUGCUUGUAUCUGGGCUCGCAAUGGAACAUCCAGGCAACGAUUAAGUCAGUGGCAAGAUGACAACUAAGAGACACCCAAAGGGAGAGAAGCCCAGCCUCCUUCAUGAAGGUGUUGCUGGAGGAAUUUAUGAGACUUAGAAGAACACAUGAAGCUGGGAAAUAGUAGCGUGUGCCUUUAAUCCCAGCACCCAGGCGGUAGAGGCAUUGUAGAUCUCUGUAAGUUCAAAGCCAGCCUGGUGUACAAGGAUCCAAUCUGAUUCUCUACAUCUUCACCAUCUGCUCCCAGCCUGUUUCUCCAGUUUAUCUUCUACCACUACCCACCUUGUGCUUCACAUUUCAGAAAUAUGGAGAGCUGUCUUCCCCUGCCAACACUUGUUUUUGCUUGUGUUUCUGAGACAUCUUGCUUCUUUCCUUGGCUAGUGUCAAGUCCUAUGCCAUCUAGCCAUCUAAUCUAUGAAGACUGUCAUUUCUUCUAAGACACUUGGUUCUUGGUCACCCAGUUCUCCAUGCUCUAUGCUUUCUUUGAUUUUGUAAAUUUUUAUGACUGCUGAGCAACUCUGAGUUAUACCAGUCAUUCCAUAGACUACAGAGUGGGAUGUCACAACACGUCUGGCUUAUCUAUCACCAUUAGAUUUCAUCCUCUUAAAGGACAAGAAGAUCAUUUACUUGUUUAAAUCUCAAGGAACUCACACCAGGAUCCUUCUCCCUUUUCCCUUGCCUCUAUCCAUCUCCACUCACCUGCCUGCCAACACAAUCACUCCUAAAAAAUAAUUCUCCUUCUUGGAUAAUUUAAGCAUAAAAUACAGUGACAGAUAAGCAAACUUCAAUUCCAUGCAAUUAGUGUAAAUCUCCCUCAAACUGAAUUUACCCAAUUAAACCUGUUCUAGUGAUUUUAUGACACAGUUGGAGUGAUUAAAGAACAAGUCAAUGGCCUUUCUGUACACAAAGAAUAAACAGGCUGAGAAAGAAAUUAGGGAAACAACACCCUUCUCAAUAGUCACAAAUAAUAUAAAAUACCUUGGCGUGACUCUAACUAAGGAAGUGAAAGAUCUGUAUGAUAAGAACUUCAAGUCCCUGAAGAAAGAAAUUAAAGAAGAUCUCAGAAGAUGGAAAGAUCUCCCAUGCUCAUGGAUUGGCAGGAUCAAUAUAGUAAAAAUGGCUAUCUUGCCAAAAGCAAUCUACAGACUCAAUGCAAUCCCCAUCAAAAUUCCAACUCAAUUCUUCAAUGAAUUAGAAAGGGCAAUCGGCAGAUUCAUCUGGAAUAACAAAAAACCUAGGAUAGCAAAAACUCUUCUCAAGGAUAAAAGAACCUCUGGUGGAAUCACCAUGCCUGACCUAAAGCUGUACUACAGAGCAAUUGUGAUAAAAACUGCAUGGUACUGGUAUAGUGAAGACAAGUAGACCAAUGGAACAGAAUUGAAGACCCAGAGAUGAAUCCACACACCUAUGGUCACUUGAUCUUUGACAAGGGAGCUAAAACCAUCCAGUGGAAAAAAGACAGCAUUUUCAACAAAUGAUGCUGGCACAACUGGCGGUUAUCAUGUAGAAGAAUUCGAAUUGAUCCAUUCCUAUCUCCUUGUACUAAGGUCAAAUCUAAGUGGAUUAAGGAACUCCACAUAAAACCAGAGACACUGAAACUUAUAGAGGAGAAAGUAGGGAAAAGCCUUGAAGGUAUGGGUACAGGGGAAAAAUUCCUGAAUAGAACAGCGAUGGCUUGUUUUGUAAGAUUGAGAAUCGAUAAAUGGGACCUCAUAAAGUUGCAAAGCUUCUGCAAGGCAAAAGAAACCAUCAAUAAGACAAAAAGGCCACCAACAGAUUGGGAAAGGAUCUUUACCUAUCCUAAAUCAGAUAGGGGACUAAUAUCCAAUAUAUAUAAAGAACUCAAGAAGGUGGACUCCAGAAAAUCAAAUAACCCUAUUAAAAAAUGGGGCUCAGAGCUGAACAAAGAAUUCUCACCUGAGGAAUACUGAAUGGCAGAGAAGCACCUGAAAAAAUGUUCAACAUCCUUAAUCAUCAGGGAAAUGCAAAUCAAAACAACCCUGAGAUUCCACCUCACACCAGUCAGAAAGGCUAAGAUAAAAAAUUCAGGUGACAGCAGAUGCUGGUGAGGAUGUGGAGAAAGAGGAACACUCCUCCAUUGCUGGUGGGAUUGCAAGCUUGUACAACCACUCUGGAAAUCAGUCUGACGGUUCCUCAGAAAAUUGGACAUAGUACUACCGGAGGAUCCAGCAAUACCUCUCCUGGGCAUAUAUCCAGAAGAUGUCCCAACCGGUAAGAAGGAAACAUGCUCCACUAUGUUCAUAGCAGCCUUAUUUAUAAUAGCCAGAAGCUGGAAAGAACCCAGAUGCCCCUCAACAGAGGAAUGGAUACAGAAAAUGUGGUACAUUUACACAAUGGAGUACUACUCAGCUAUUAAAAAGAAUGAAUUUAUGAAAUUCCUAGGCAAAUGGAUGGACCUGGAGGGCAUCAUCCUGAGUGAGGUAACCCAAUCACAAAGGAACUCACACAAUAUGUACUCACUGAUAAGUGGAUAUUAGCCCAGAAACUUAGGAUACCCAAGAUAUAAGAUACAAUUUGCUAAACGCAUGAAACUCAAGAAGAACGAAGACCAAAGUGUGGACACUUUGCCCCUUCUUAGAAUUGGGAACAAAACACCCAUGGAAGGAGUUACAGAGACAAAGUUUGGAGCUGUGACUAAAGGAUGAACCAUCUAGAGCCUGCCAUAUCCGGGGAUCCAUCCCAUAAUCAGCUUCCAAACGCUGACACCAUUGUACACACUAGCAAGAUUUUGCUGAAAGGAUCCAGAUAUAGCUCUCUUGUGAAACUAUGCCGGGGCCUAGCAAACACAGAAGUGGAUGCUCACAGUCAGCUAUUGGAUGGAUCACAGGGCCCCCAAUAGAGGAGGUAGAGAAAGUACCCAAGGAGCUAAAGGGAUCUGCAACAACAUUAUGGACUAACCAGUACCCCGGAGCUCUUGACUUUAGCUGCAUAUGUAUUAAAAGAUGGCCUAGUCAGCCAUCACUGGAAAGAGAGGCCCUUUGGACUUGCAAACUUUAUAUGCCCCAGUACAGGGGAACGCCAGGGCCAAAAAGUGGGAGUGGGUGGGUAGGGGAGUGGGGUGACGGUAUGGGGGACUUUUGGGAUAGCAUUGGAAAUGUAAAUGAGGAAAAUACCUAAUAUAUAUAUAUAUACAUAUGUAUAUGUAUAUAUAUAUAUAUGAAGUGGUUAAGCAGUUUUAAAAUUUACAAAACUAAUCAGAACUUAUAUCAGAAACUUUGGGAAAUGAAGACAACAUACACAAUAAAGCAGACAAAGCAAUCUGCAGUGGCUACUGACUACUAUGCUAGCAUUUGUUCUUGUUUCUAGUAUUCUCUCUCUCUCUCUCUCUCUCUCUCUCUCUCUCUCUCCAUAUGUGUGUGUGUGUAAAUACAAAUGUGCCAAAUGCAUAAUUACACACAUUUGAACUAUACCUUCUAAAAAUUUUAUAUUCUCCUUUUUUAUGAAAUAUAAUAUGGCAGUCAGUGCUUUUUCUGUCCUCUCGAUACAGAUUGAGUAGUCUGGGAAGAGAGAACUUCAGUUGAAGAAUUACUUCCAUUAGAUUGAGCUGGAGGCAAGUCUGUGGGCAUUUUCUUGAUUAAUGGUCGAGGCAAAAAGGCACAGGCUUUUAUGGGCAGUGCCACCCCUGGGCAGGUGGUUCUGAGUUAUGUGGGAAAGCAGGCUGAGCAAGCCAUUGGAGACAAGCUAGUAAGUAGCUUGUUUAAUUUGGUUAAUUAAAGAUGUAUUAUCCACUGGAUCUAUUUACCAGACUUAGAAAACAAAACUUGCUACCUCCUUAGGUCACAUUUAAACCUUUUUCAUUUUCUUACAGAAUAAAACGCAAAAAUGAUUUUACUGUGAUGAAUUCUUAACAUUUUGCUCCAGUUGCUUAACAUUUGUUCUUUCUUUUUCUGCUAACAUAUUGCAGAUAAAAGGGGAUAUGAUUCCUAAGGACUUUCUUUCAUAUUCAUCUCCAAAGUACUUUUGUACUAGUCAGCAAUAUAUUACAAUAUUAUUAUCCAAUCCACACUAUCAAUUUAAAUAUCACAAACUUAUAAUGAUUUUCUAAUAAUUUUAUAAUAAAGUUUUGGUUCAGCAUCCAAUCAGGAUUGGAUCUGUCCCACAAAAACUACAACUCUCACCUUCAAGGAAACAAGAGAUCAUUUGCUCUGGAGCUAAGUUACUCCAUGUCCCGUGUCCCCAUGUGGAAGCAGUUUCACAGAGUUUGGUAGUAACAGAGCUAAGAGAGAGCUAUCAAUCAAGGCAUGCAAAAAUGUUAGUGCUGGGUUACAGCAAAGUGGGGGAAUGUCUCCUCUAGGUCUCAGGUGCUUUCUGAUGACAUUCUUACCUUUUGGGCGGAUGAAAACUAAUUAUCUGCUAAGUUCCAAAAGGCUUUAAAUCUACUCAUCACAGAAUGUUAUUUCUGACACAGAGGUGGGCAAAGAAUGGCUAUUCAGGUGAGUAUGAUUAGCUCAGGAUAAAGUAGAGUUGGUCUCUGACCCGCAACAUCACUGCUAUCUUUUGUUUGUUAUAUUUGUUCACUUUAUUUUAUGUCUGCAUGUUCUGUCUGCACGUGUGUAUUGCACCAUCUGCACACUUAGUGCCUGUAUUUAUGUAUUGCAUGAACCAUGUGCAUAGAUUAAUGCCUGCAUUAUAUGUACUGCACUAUGUAUACUUGAUGCCUGUAGCAGUCAAAGGGAGUAUCUGAUCCUCUGGAAUUCCAGGUGAUCCACCAUGUGGGUACGUGGAAUCAAACCCUGGUCCCCUGCAAGAGCAGCAAGUGCUGUUAACUGCUGAGCUGUCUAUGCAGCAAAAAUCGGUGCAUGCUAAUCAAUCAGCCUUUCCAGAUACAUCUGUCCGGGAAGUUUUGCUUGCAGAUCUUGGGUUGUAUUCAUAGUCUCAUGUCUUUAAUAUGUAGAGUUCCUCAGACUUAUUUUAUGAUCUUAAUGUUUUUGGUAGAGUAAAAUUGGCAAGUUUGUGGAAUAUUCUUUGAUGUUCCCUCACAGUUAGCUUCAGGUUUGUAUAUUUUAUUUUUUAUCCACGCGGUCUUGUAUCUUUAGGGAAUCCUAUAAGGAGUCUUAUAGUCUUAGUUGCUGUGAUGAAACACCAUAGCCAAAGGCAAGGCAGGAAGGAAGGAAAUGGUUUAUUUGGCUCACACUUCCACAUUGCAGUCCAUCACUGAGAGAAUUUAGGGCAGAAACCCAGUGGCAGGAGCUGAUGCCAAUGUCAUGGUGGAAUGCUGCUUAUUGGCAUGCUCAGACUUCUUUACUGCUUUUUACAGAACCGAGGAUCAUCAGCUCAGCGGGGGUGGCACCAUUCCAAUAGAAUGGGCCCUCCUUCAUCAAUCAGUAAUUAAGAAAAUGCUCUGCAGCUAGAUCAAGCAUUUCUAAAUUGAGGCUCCCUCUUUUCAGAUAAGUCUAGCCUGUGUUAAGUUGACAUAAAACACUCAUGAUGGCAAUUCAUUUUGCUUCUAGUGAUAGUAAUUUCCAUUACUUAAGUUUGUGACUGUUAGGUUAGUCUACCAAAACAUUACUAUUUGCUCUUUGCAAUUAAGUACUUUGUAGGUGGUUACUCCAAAACUACUUCGUAAAUAUCUUCUUACUCAUCAAGCAUGAUUUUAUUUCUACUAGCCGUAGGCUUCUUUUUAGUUUCUCUGCCUCUUCUUAAUAUUUUGGAUUUUUCUUAGUUCCAAAUACAGCAAAAUACUUUAGGAUCCCUGGGUUUUUUGUUUUUGUUUUUAAUGAAAAGUAAUAUUUAGAAACCAAGAUUUCCAUGUUUGAUGUGCUAAUUGGUCUUCUGUUUUUCCUAAAAAGCACAUCUGGGUUUGUGUUUUAUAUAUUUCUUUCUGUCAUUAAGUAUGUAUGUAUUAUUUGUAUAAUGUGGGUUUUAUAUUAAAAUGCUUAAUUAUAUUCCAUGUCUUCAUAUUGACACUGAUGUCAGGUGUUUGUGUGCAACAAAGCCAGUCUCAGCUCUUGGUCAGCCUAACUUGGAGAGUUAGUGUGUUUGACAAUUGACAGUCACCAAAGUCACCCCAAGAAAAUGGCUCUGGGGUUUAUUAUCUCACAUCCGAGAAGAAUAAGGAAACAAGGAUCGGGAGUGAGCAGAAUAAAUGUAGAGAAAGUAACAAUAUUUAAAGAAUGGGCAGGACUCCAAGAGAAGGUACUGUGAGCUGCUUUAUUCAAUGACAUUAUAAAAUUUAUGACGGCAACUGGAUAGAGGCAGAGGGGAUCUAUUAUUGAGAUGGAUUAUUUGUGAGUUCAUUAUGCAGGGAACUAAGAAGAGGCCUACAUGUCCUUUGCAUUACUUCUCUACCUGAUUGGAGAGGGCAGUUAUGGGUUACUUGUCCCAACAUGAAAUUAGUCUGGGCACCUUAGCCUACUGCUUUGCCCAUGUCUUCUCGCUUGGGUUGCAGACUAUUGAUUGAUUAGGCUAUGCCUCUUUCUUGUCUAGAGAUGUAUGAUUAGCUAAUAAUUGAUCAGGGGCUCUUAUUGUCAACAGAGAGUUAAUUCCUAUCUCAUUAUUUCAAGUUGGAUUCAGUAUGGUAAAGGAUCAUAAACGAUCUUAGUAGAUGAACCUUAAUGGUGAUUAGGUGCUGUGUGAAAGAGAGAAAGAAAUAAGGAAGUCAUAUUAGAGUGGAAUGUGCUCUUUGGUGCAUAUUUUCUUCACAUGUAGAAGUAAAGCUAAGAUUUCGUAACAGCUCUUAUCAGAGACUUCUUGUAUAUUGAUUUUAUAGUCAAAUAAAAUCAAGCCCUUUCUUGCUAACUGAUGUUGAAGAAUGGUUUCUACAUCUCUCCUUAUGCGUUUAACUUUUUAACAACCCCUAAUGCUUGUAAGCCUGUGAAACUUUAUAAUGUCAUCAUCCACUACCUUCAAAGUCUUUUGACCACAGUUUAGCUAAAUACUAAUUUUUCCUAUAACUUGUUAUAUGAACAUUUAGAAUAUGAUUAUUCUGUGCUUGGGCCGAUUUCCACAGCAGAUCAAUCAAAAAAUACAGAUGUAUCAAGGUGCAGCAUGCUGGUGUGUGUGUGUUCUCUUACUUGUCUCUUCUUCUAAGUGAUCUAGUCUAC